CGAACCGUCCAAACGUUAUUCGGAAUCACUGGGCUUACAGAGUUCGUAGGCGGUCCCAAAAGUUAGGUGUGAAAUCCCUCGGCUCAACCGAGGAACUGCGCUUAAAACUGUGGGACUCGAGGGAGAUAGAGGAAAGCGGAACUGAUGGUGGAGCGGUGAAAUGCGUUGAUAUCAUCAGGAACACCGGUGGCGAAGGCGGCUUUCUGGGUCUUACCUGACGCUGAGGAACGAAAGCUAGGGGAGCGAACGGGAUUAGAUACCCCGGUAGUCCUAGCCGUAAACGAUGAGCACUAGGUCGUGGGCCUCCACAGGCCCUCGGCCGUAGCGAAAGUGUUAAGUGCUCCGCCUGGGGAGUAUGGUCGCAAGGCUG
rnacentral:rRNA from 1 species